CUCCCCCACCGGCGGCGGCCGCCGCCCCUCCCCCACCGCCCCCCCCGGCCGUGUUCGCGCUGCACCCGCACGGCUUCGGCGUGGCCCAGCCCCCCGCCCAUCCCCCCCCGCAGGUGAUGCUGCUGCACCCCCCGGGCCCCUCCCCUGCCGGGGGGGUCCCGCAGGGGGGGGUGGGGGUGGGGCCCCUCCCCGGCUCCGGCCCCGCCCCCUUCGGCUUCCUCGGACACGCCCCAGUGCAGUCGCAGCAGCUCCACCAGUUCCACCCGGGGGGAAACUGAGGCACGGCCGGACCGGGGGGGGGAGGGGCCCGACCCCCCCCUCCCCCUUCCUCCCUUCCCCUCCCCCACCCCCCUUUUGUAUUAAUUUAUAGCGGGGGGGGAGGGGCGGGGGGAGAUUUGGGGCUGAAUGAGCCCGAAAAGGGAAAAAGGCUGAAAAAACAGAAAUAAAAUUUAAAAAAAACCCCAAACACGAUAAAAAUGGAAAUA